CCCACCAACUGGGGACAGGUGCGGGGGUUGUUCCUCCAACUCCGUGCCGCAGCUAAAGCAUUAACCUUCUCGCGCCAUGGAGGAGUAGGGCCACUAUUGUUUAUAAAUCUAUGGGAGUGACGGUGCCCCGCUCAAGAGGAGGAGCAUGAGGAUCUAAUUCCAAGUAUCGCCUAGAACCUUACCGUGGGUUUGACAUAUUUCCGGAAACAUCUAGAGACUAGGUGCCCCUUUAUGGCCGGUAUAAAGGGGGCGCAUGGCUGACGUCAGCUCCUGUCGUGAGAAGUUAUGUUAAGUCCCGCAACGAGCGCAACCCUUCUUCUAUGUUGCCAGCGGAUAAUGUCUGGGACUCAUACGAAACCGCCUGGGGUCACUUCAAAGGAAGGGGGGAUGAAUUUCAGUCAUCCUGCCCCCUUAUUUCCAGGGUUUCACGCCUGCUACAUGGGCCGGGACAAAGAGGCUGCGAACCCUGACAAGGGGUAGUUGAAACUUCCAAAAGCCCGGGUCUCCAAUUUUCCGAAUGGGGGGCUGCCAACUCCACCCCCAAGUAAAACUAGUAGUCCGCUACGGAAAUCCCAUAAAUAGUCAUCCCCCGGCCGGGGGAAAUAAACUACCCCGGGGGGUUUUGAGUAAUAACCCGACCCCGGUUAGAUUACUUUAAAGUAUGGGAAAAACCCCCCA
rnacentral:rRNA from 1 species